CGGGACGUAGCGCAGCUUGGUAGCGCGCUUGCUUCGGGAGCAAGAGGCCGUGGGUUCAAAUCCCAUCGUCCCGACCA
rnacentral:tRNA from 1 species